rnacentral:misc_RNA from 1 species
CAACCCAUGUCACUUGGGGAAAUUGCAAGGACAUGGGAUGUUUGUGCCCGGGCAGUUAUUUCCGAGCAUGCCCAGCAGAGUGGUGGAGGAAGCUUCAGCUCAAAAUAUGGAACAUGGGAAAACUGCUUGAGCGCAGCAUGAUUCCUUUUUAAAAGCUAAAGAAGCUGUCAAUGUGAUUAUUUUGCUGGUGCUGCCAUGAUGACCAAACAAGCAGGUUUGCAAGUAUAGACGAUCAUCCUGAAGACUCCUGGAGCAUUUCCUAAAUGUGUG